GGGAUACAGCAUUUGUGUAAUAUCAUUAACAAAAUCUAAAUGGACCAUUUAUGAAAUUGAAGGAAAUUACGAUCCAUAUUCACACCUGAAAUAUCAUGUGCUUUGUGAGGUAGUAGAUCAAAAGCAAACUUACCUACCAAAAGCAGAGACUAAGUUGGGUGACCAGAAGUUGGGAAGUGGCUUCACCUUUUGUGUAGUAGAUCAAAAGCAAACUUAACUACCAAAAGCAGAGACUAAGUUUGGUGACCAGAAGUUGGGAAGUGGCUUCACCUUUUGUAUGUCAGGAGACAAGUCUGAUGCAAGCUCUCUAAGCCGGCUCUCCACAGCCUCUACAGUGAGGCAACCAUCAAUGACAUG
rnacentral:lncRNA from 1 species